UACGAACUGUGCGAACGUUAUUCGGAAUCACUGGGCUUACAGGGUGCGUAGGCGGCCAUGUAAGUCGGGUGUGAAAGCCCUCGGCUUAACCGAGGAACUGCCUGUCAGACUGGAUGGCUUGAGACCGGGAGAGGUGAGUGGAAUUCCCAGUGUAGCGGUGAAAUGCGUAGAUAUUGGGAGGAACACCAGUGGCGAAGGCGGCUCACUGGACCGGAACUGACGCUGAGGCACGAAAGCGUGGGGAUCAAACAGG
rnacentral:rRNA from 1 species